GAUGAACGCUGGCGGCGUGCCUAAUGCAUGCAAGUCGAGCGAACGGACGAGAAGCUUGCUUCUCUGAUGUUAGCGGCGGACGGGUGAGUAACACGUGGAUAACCUACCUAUAAGACUGGGAUAACUUCGGGAAACCGGAGCUAAUACCGGAUGAUAUUUUGAACCGCAUGGUUCAAAAGUGAAAGACGGUCUUGCUGUCACUUAUAGAUGGAUCCGCGCUGCAUUAGCUAGUUGGUAAGGUAACGGCUUACCAAGGCAACGAUGCAUAGCCGACCUGAGAGGGUGAUCGGCCACACUGGAACUGAGACACGGUCCAGACUCCUACGGGAGGCAGCAGUAGGGAAUCUUCCGCAAUGGGCGAAAGCCUGACGGAGCCACGCCGCGUGAGUGAUGAAGGUCUUCGGAUCGUAAAACUCUGUUAUUAGGGAAGAACAUAUGUGUAAGUAACUGUGCACAUCUUGACGGUACCUACUCAGAAAGCCACGGCUAACUACGUG
rnacentral:rRNA from 1 species